rnacentral:rRNA from 1 species
UACGAAGGGGGCUAGCGUUGUUCGGAUUUACUGGGCGUAAAGCGCACGUAGGCGGUUUGUUAAGUGAGAGGUGAAAUCCCAGAGCUCAACUCUGGAACUGCCUUUCAUACUGGCAAGCUAGAGUCCGGAAGAGGUAAGUGGAACUCCUAGUGUAGAGGUGGAAUUCGUAGAUAUUAGGAAGAACACCAGUGGCGAAGGCGGGCU